AAGGUUUUUGGUGGAGGAAAGCGUACGUGUUUACCAAGUUCUUUAUUGCUUCAGUGCUUUACCAAUUUAUUUUUUAGGAAGAUUGAUGUUUAGGUUUUACUCAAUCGCAUUGAAAUUGAUUUUGUUGCUUUUUAAGGAGAAUAAAAGUGAUUUGUUGCUUUAGAAAAGGCAGCUUCAGAUAACAGAUGAUGUCUUCAGAAUUUCUUUAUGAAAUCUUCGAUUAGGUUAUGGGUUUUAUCUCUGGAAAAUACAGGAACUGAUUCAGAUAUUUGCAAUGUUGGUCGAUUAAUAACCGUGCAAAAGAACCAGAAAAAGGGAACUGAAUUUCUAAAUCUGUAAUGCGAAUGACCAGCUUAAAUUAGCUAGGCUAGCAAUUAGCCAAAAACUUUUAUUUUCUUAAGCAUUAGUAAAAAAAAAUAAAUAAAUACAUUUCAUCAUUUUUUGGUAGAAUUUCUUUUCAGUUUGAUUUGUAGCACGCUCAUAAUUCAAAUUUGUUGUGGUACUGGG
rnacentral:misc_RNA from 1 species